UUUUUUUCUUCAAAAUUUACUCAUGAAAAACAUCAACUCUAACAAAAUAUCUUGAAGCGGAGAAGUCCGCCGUUGAUAAAAAAUCAAAGCGCUGUAAGCGCUGAAGGCAGUUAACCAAAAACCAAGACAACCGUAAUUAUGAAAACUGUGGCAAUGUUGCCUCAACAUUAAACAUUCAUGUAUAGUACAUUCAUGUUUAUCUAAUGAUGUAUUUAUUAAGGCAAAUAGUUUAUAUGUUAUCAAGGUUUCAAAAGCAAUGCAUAUAUCAAUGUAUAUGUUUUAUGGUGAGUCUGCAGUGGUACAAGUUCCCAAUGAUUGCAGUUGUUCUACUUGGUAGUUAACCUUGGUUUUAUUUGACUGCUAGAAGUUCAAUUUGACGUAGUAUGAACAUGUAAUAGUAUGAAUGGACUGGUUUCCCUGGAAAGAAAACUGAGUUUGUGUUCUAUAGUACAAAAGUUAUGAGACACGAAUCAGACAAAUGUUCACUACAACAGGGAUCAAAGAUGAGGUCUGACUGACUUGCCCAUAGUAAAUGUAAAUGAUUUGUUAUUUUGUCCCAUACAUAUGAAUAUAAAUAAUUUAGGGAUGGGGAUCUCAACGGUUUUCAAGUUCUCAAACAGGUAGGGAUCGGCAGAGGAUUUAGGGGGCAGGGGGCUUAUAUAGGGAAUCACUGAAGCGUGACUGGAGCGGGCCCCUCUUAGGUCAGUCAGUGGGCCCCACUUAUGAAAAUUUCUUGAUCCGCCACUGGGGGUAGGGUGACCCUAGGGACUUCCCCUACAUUUCAUUUUAUAUUGUUAUAUUGUCCCAUACAUGAAUAUAUAUGGUUUAGGGGUGGGGAUCUCAUUGGUUUCCAAGUUCUCAAACAGGAAGGGUAGGGUGACCCAAGGGACUUCCCUUAUAUUUCAUUUGAUUUGUUAUAUUCUCCCAUACAUGAGUAAUAUAUAUGGUUUAGGGGUAAUGAUCUUGACCAUUUCCAAGUUCUCAAACAGGAGGGUGAACAGUGACCUCAGGGACUCCCCCUAUCUUUCAUCUGAUUUGUUAUAUUGUCCCAUACAUGAAUAUAUAUGGGUU
rnacentral:lncRNA from 1 species